CAAGAAGAGACCCUAACCGGUCCUCUCAACCCUGCCCAUCGUACCUUUUUUUGUUGUUCCCUCGGCGGUGCUCGCGGGCCCGCCAGCGGGAAGACCAAACAAACCCUUUGCAAACAAGCAUAUCGAAAUCUCUGAUCAAACAUGAAUUGUCA
rnacentral:misc_RNA from 1 species